rnacentral:rRNA from 1 species
AACGAACGCUGGCGGCAGGCCUAACACAUGCAAGUCGAACGCCGUAGCAAUACGGAGUGGCAGACGGGUGAGUAACACGUGGGAACGUACCCUUCGGUUCGGAAUAACUCAGGGAAACUUGAGCUAAAACCGGAUACGUCCGAGAGGAGAAAGAUUUAUCGCCGAGGGAUCGGCCCGCGUCUGAUUAGCUUGUUGGUGAGGUAACGGCUCACCAAGGCGACGAUCAGUAGCUGGUCNGAGAGGAUGAUCAGCCACAUUGGGACUGAGACACGGCCCAAACUCCUACGGGAGGCAGCAGUGGGGAAUAUUGGACAAUGGGCGCAAGCCUGAUCCAGCCAUGCCGCGUGAGUGAUGAAGGCCCUAGGGUUGUAAAGCUCUUUUACCCGGGAAGAUAAUGACUGUACCGGGAGAAUAAGCCCCGGCUAACUUCGUGCCAGCAGCCGCAGU